rnacentral:rRNA from 1 species
GAUGAACGCUGGCGGCGUGCCUAAUACAUGCAAGUCGAGCGAACGGACGAGAAGCUUGCUUCUCUGAUGUUAGCGGCGGACGGGUGAGUAACACGUGGAUAACCUACCUAUAAGACUGGGAUAACUUCGGGAAACCGGAGCUAAUACCGGAUAAUAUUUUGAACCGCAUGGUUCAAAAGUGAAAGACGGUCUUGCUGUCACUUAUAGAUGGAUCUGCGCUGCAUUAGCUAGUUGGUAGGUAACGGCUUACCAAGGCAACGAUGCAUAGCCGACCUGAGAGGGUGAUCGGCCACACUGGAACUGAGACACGGUCCAGACUCCUACGGGAGGCAGCAGUAGGGAAUCUUCCGCAAUGGGCGAAAGCCUGACGGAGCAACGCCGCGUGAGUGAUGAAGGUCUUCGGAUCGUAAAACUCUGUUAUUAGGGAAGAACAUAUGUGUAAGUAACUGUGCACAUCUUGACGGUACCUAAUCAGAAAGCCACGGCUAACUACGUG